AUACGGAGGGUGCAAGCGUUGUUCGGAAUUAUUGGGCGUAAAGCGCGUGUAGGCGGUUUCUUAAGUCUGAUGUGAAAGCCCUGGGCUCAACCCAGGAAGUGCAUUGGAAACUGGGAGACUUGAAUACGGGAGAGGGUAGUGGAAUUCCUAGUGUAGGAGUGAAAUCCGUAGAUAUUAGGAGGAACACCGGUGGCGAAGGCGGCUACCUGGACCGAUAUUGACGCUGAGACGCGAAAGCGUGGGGAGC
rnacentral:rRNA from 1 species